UACGUAGGAUGCAAGCGUUGUCCGGAUUUAUUGGGUUUAAAGGGUGCGUAGGCGGCCUAUUAAGUUAGUGGUGAAAACGUUCGGCUUAACCGGAUACCCGCCAUUGAUACUGAUAGACUUGAGUGCGACAGAGGGUGUUGGAAUGUGUGGUGUAACGGUGAAAUGCUUAGAUAUCACGCAGAACACCAAUUGAGAAGGCAGAUGCCUAUGUCGUAACUGACGCUGAGGCACUAAAGCGUUUGGAGCAAACAGG
rnacentral:rRNA from 1 species